ensembl:snoRNA SNORA70 Small nucleolar RNA SNORA70
AGGCAGAGCCAACUAAGCUGACCGUGCUCUCUGCCCCACGAGGUCGAUGUGCAACAGCUAUAAAUAGCAAGCAGCCUCUUCAUUAGUGGACGCAUUCUGUGGUUUAUAUAGACUGUUCUAAAAGAUCCUGGAGACAGUC